rnacentral:rRNA from 1 species
UACAGAGGUAGCUAGCGUUGUUCGGAAUGACUGGGUGUAAAGCGCAUGUAGGCGGUUUUGUAAGUUGAAUGUGAAAUCCUUUGGCUUAACCAAAGAACUGCAUUCAAUACUGCAUUACUUGAGUGCUGGAGAGGAAAGCGGAAUUUCUGGUGUAGCGGUGAAAUGCGUAGAUAUCAGAAGGAACACCAGUGGCGAAGGCGGCUUUCUGGCCAGCAACUGACGCUGAGAUGCGAAAGCUAGGGGAG